rnacentral:rRNA from 1 species
CGUAAAACUCUGUCCUCAAGGAAGAUAAUGACGGUACUUGAGGAGGAAGCCCCGGCUAACUACGUGCCAGCAGCCGCGGUAAUACGUAGGGGGCUAGCGUUAUCCGGAUUUACUGGGCGUAAAGGGUGCGUAGGCGGUCUUUCAAGUCAGGAGUGAAAGGCUACGGCUCAACCGUAGUAAGCUCUUGAAACUGGGAGACUUGAGUGCAGGAGAGGAGAGUGGAAUUCCUAGUGUAGCGGUGAAAUGCGUAGAUAUUAGGAGGAACACCAGUUGCGAAGGCGGCUC